rnacentral:lncRNA from 1 species
UGACGAUAUCGAUUAUUUAGCAAAUGACAAAAUUAAAAUAUAUUAUAAGAGAAAUAUUUAAAAAUCGGAAUACAUUUAUAUGACGUUUCCCUCACAAAUUAAAAACACGUUUAUCGUUUCAGAGAUGGAUUCAUGUGGGAGUAUAUGGAGUAAGAUCACAAGGUUCAUGGACGCUGCGUUCCACUAGAUAAGAGGCGCACUUUCCAAUUAUAUCGCUGGUCACUCCCUGCUUCACCUACGAUUACAGCAAUGUGAACCCGGGUUUGCAUUUGGAUCCGGAGACGGCGGUGAGUUGGGCUGCCUCCCUCCUGCACGCAGAUCAGAGAUGAUGGAUCAAAAACACAUGCAAGUCAGCUGCUUAAUCCUCACGUGUAACUGUGCGGCCCUGUUCGGCUGGCUGAACUGCUGAUAUCGAUUCUGAUUUGUUGUGAGAGAAAAACACUGUACUAUAACUCUAGGAGCCCCAUAAAUUAACCACCACAGAGUGGCGCGACGAGCAUAGUAGGUUGUACCUUGCGCAGGCUUAACGUGCACGGUGAGAAUGAUGAAGAACGCCGCCGCCAAGAUCGCCAAGAAGCGCAGAACAACCGGCAGCUGCAAGGAGGGACGAGGCGCCUUCAUUUUGAAACUUUUUGCUCUGCGCCGGCUCUCUAUCUCUAAGUCGUUUUUCGUGGAUGUGCA